rnacentral:rRNA from 1 species
UAAUACGUAGGGCGCAAGCGUUGUCCGGAAUUAUUGGGCGUAAAGAGCUCGUAGGCGGCUUGUCACGUCGGGUGUGAAAGCCCGGGGCUUAACCCCGGGUCUGCAUUCGAUACGGGCUAGCUAGAGUGUGGUAGGGGAGAUCGGAAUUCCUGGUGUAGCGGUGAAAUGCGCAGAUAUCAGGAGGAACACCGGUGGCGAAGGCGGAUCUCUGGGCCAUUACUGACGCUGAGGAGCGAAAGCGUGGGGAGCGAACAGGAUUAGAUACCCUGGUAGUCCACGCCGUAAACGGUGGGAACUAGGUGUUGGCGACAUUCCACGUCGUCGGUGCCGCAGCUAACGCAUUAAGUUCCCCGCCUGGGAAGUACGGCCGCAAGGC